rnacentral:lncRNA from 1 species
AAAAUAUAUGUUUAUAAAAAAUAAAAAAUUAUAUUAAAAAAAAUAAGUAGAGAAUAAUAAGAAAGAAAAGCAAAUUGAAAAAAAAUAAAAUAAAAAUAAAAAAAAUAAAAAUAAAUAAAAAAAAAAAGAGUCACUUAUGGUUUGUCUCCCUCCCAAUUCCAUCUUGUUUCAUUGGUGAUGCAACGUGUAAGUAUUAUUUUAAUGAGUAUUCCAUUAAAUUAUUAAGUAAUAAUUGUGAUAUUAAUAUAAUUUAUUGGAAAACUUUGACUAUGUUAAAGUCAUUAAUCUCCUAAUAUGAAUUAUAGAUUAUUGGAAACUCAUCUUCAACAACAGAACAACAAAUGAUAUUGAACAAAACAAUAUACAACAGUUGGAAGAAAAUUUAACGCUAUGCAUGAAUAUGUAUAAUAAUGUCUCAAAUGAGCUUAUCAUUUUUGAAAAUAUGACACAAAACAUAUUAAAAGAGCUGACAAACUUUACCUCAGAAUACUGUGAAGAGUUAAUGAAGAAGGAAAAAGAUGUUCAAUUUCACUCAUGUUUGGAAUCAUGGAUGUGGUAUGGAAAUGGAAGCCAAGGUCAUGCCCAGAUGAAUAUGGACAGUAAGAAAAAUUGCAAUAAUACCCAGGUGUUCUUUCGAUGUUUUCCAUUACCUAUCCCCUGGGUGGAUCUGGAUUCUCCUUUCAAGAAGACAAAUUGGGAAGAAGGAAGGGUUUUAAAAUUUUGCAUUGUGACCUAUUUGACACUUGCUGAAAACAGCAAAGUAAAAAACACGACAAUGGGACACACACCAAAUACAACUCAACUCCUGGAAACAAGCAGGGUUACAGAAAGUAACCAGAGGUCCAGAGAUGGGGACAGGGUCAUUCAUGAUGGGCAUUAAGAAGGGCGUGUGAUGUGAUAAACACUGGGUAUUUUACACAAGUGAUGAAUCAUUGAAUAUUAUAUCAAAAACUAAUAAUGUACUAUAUGUUGGCUAAUUGAAUUUAAAUAAAAAAACAGUGAAGUAUAUGACAUUCAAAAGAAAUGACAUGAUUGGAAAAUUUAAUACCUUUAGUAGUUAUCAUAUUUGUGAAAAUAAAGUAGCUAUAUCAAAUUUUCAAUUGUAGCUAAAUGCAAACAUUCCUACUUUAUGUAUUAGUGUGCAAGAUAAAGGUGACCAUAUAAGCUGAAACUUUGGAAAAUCGAUCUCAGAAUCCAAGAGAAAAUUUUUUGUUUUGUGACUUUAAAAACUUUUUUUGUCAAAACAUUAAAAAUGUCUUACUAUUGGUUAUAAAUGUGUAGAGAAGUGGAAAAAAGUAAAAUAAUACUACUUAAUAUGUUGUAAUUCCAAAUAUUAGAAACAUUGAAUAUUAAAUUGGUUUCUCCCAUUUAUCAAGAGAAGCAAGAGGAAUGGUAUAAUCCUUUUUGUGAUACAGCUUACUCUACAGAUUGAACAUUUUAUCCAUUCCUUGGCAAUUUGCUAUAUUCCUUUCUUUCUUUUUUUUAAAAAUUAAAAAAAAUUUAAUAAAUAUAUAAUGUAUUAUUAGCCCCAGGUGUACAGGUCUAUAAGUCACCAGAUUUACACACUUCACAGCAUUCACCAUAGCACAUAUGUCAUUUUCCUUUCUAGGUUAGGAUCAGCUUUUAACAUUUUAGCUUUUGUGAUGUCAAGACAUGAAAGAUUUCCAACAGUUCCUUUAAUGUGAAGUUUCCUGUAGGCAGCUUCACCUCCUCCAGCAUAUCUCCCUUCCUCAUUUUUGCCAAGAAAUUAUCUUCAGCAAGCUAUUCCAUUCUUCAGGAAUUUCAAAGUCCUCCGAGACUCUGAAAUGAUGGCAGUAUCAAUAUUCUCACAGUCAGCUAUUUCUUCUUUCUUAUUAUUACCCAUUAAAUAAUGGGUAAAUAUUUUUUUGUUGUUAUUGAAGUAUCAUUGACAGUUGUUUUGUCUUUAACUCUGUUUUUUAUUUAAAUCACAUUCUGCAAAGUCAUUCACAUGGUGUGGAAAAAGAUCUUUUCUCUUAUAAGGAUAUUCUGUUACCUUCUGACAAGAUGUUUGAAUAUUUUCAGCUGCAUGCUUUUUAUACUAUUUCUUCUAAAACUCGGCUAAAGAAAUUGCUUGAGCUCCAGUUACAGCCAAUAGUCUGCAAGGGUUUAAAAGCUUAAACAACUCCUUAGAUUAAUGAAGCUGUAUUGCUGAUAGAAAGCAAAUUUUCAUUUUUUCCCAAGAUCUUAUAUAAAUCAGGUUGAUCUAGAGUAUUAUGUAACAGUAGAAGUGCUUUAGAAAAAUGAUCUUCCUAAAAUAUCUCUACAACUGAGAAGCAAAGACGGAAAACAACUGUAUGCUUUUCUAUCAAUAUAUAAAUGAAAUAAGAGGUUCUCGGUGACCAAUCAUGGACAGACCUUGAAGGAAUUGACAAGAGUGGUCAUUUAUCAUAAUGAUCAUCUAUUACUUAUGUAGCAGGGUUUUGUACUUUAUGCAAUUACUCACCAUAUAUUGUAAUAAAUGAAAACUGAACUGUGUUGUUGCGGAAUGAGUGUUAAUUGAAUGAACUGUGACCACUGAUAUCUGUAUAUGGGAACCAUGUAAAGCAAGAACUAUCUGUGUUUCCAAUACAAUCUGUUACUGCAUGAUUUGAAUACCUCCAUUGACUCCUGUAUAUUAUAGCAAUUUUUAAAUUCAAUUAACGUCUACCUUAAUCUCACUAUAAUAUUUGUAUGGAAUACCGGAUAUAGAAGUAAUGACUUUGUAUUUUCCCACAAGCUGCUCAGUAUACACCUAUAAGAUAUUAAUUAAAAAAAAUAAUUUCUUAUUUACUUUUAACUCAGAUAUUAUGCAACUCAGUUAAAAAUGAUUCAGUGUUUGUUUAAAAACUGAUUUCUCUUCAGUCUUCCUUUUAUUAGUAUUAUUCUUUGUGCUACUGCAAAUUUCAUGUAAAUUUCAGAAAUUCAUGUUCCUAGGAACUUAGGCAAACAAUUCAUGACACUGGGGACUUCUAACAUUUACUACAUAAUCAUACUUCAUAUCCCUGUCUUUUUGUACAAGCACCUAUUCAUUUCCUAAGUGUGUCUUUCUGAAUAAUUAUAUCUGCUAUCUUCAUGGAUAAGGAAAAAAAUUGAUAAACUUAAAUAACUACUUCUGAUUUAAGAAAAAGCAAGAAAAGGUGGUGGAAGAAGAGGAAAAGGAAAAAAUUCUAAGUGAAUUAGAAUGGUAGACUAUUUCCUUAAUAUGCUAAUGAUCAUAUAUUUAAAAUUGUCACCAGUAUGAAACAAAAUAGUGAUUCUUAUGUAUUUUGUAAUAAUCAAAAUGAGUUUAUCACCAUUAUUACCUAACAUUGCCCUGGAAGUCUAGUAAGUGAAAAAGAGAAAAAUUAAGAGUAGUCACAACUGGGCGCCUGGGUGGCUCAGUGGGUUAAGCCGCUGCCUUCGGCUCAGGUCAUGAUCUCAGGGUCCUGGGAUCGAGGCCUGCAUCAGGCUCUCUGCUCAGCAGGGAGCCUGCUUCCCUCUCUCUCUCCCUGCCUCUCCAUCUACUUGUGAUUUCUCUCUGUCAAAUAAAUAAAUAAAAUCUUUAAAAAAAAAAAAAAGAGUAGUCACAACUGAUUAUAAAUGAUCAAAUAUUAAUUGUGGAUUCAUAGAAAAUGUGUUAUUAAAAAAAUAGCUGAAUGUUUGACAUAAAAUUAUUGAAUUGGCCACUCUCAUGACAAAUGUCCAAGACAUAUUCUUUAUUACAUAUAAAUAAAAAGUUGUCAGAAUAGCAAAUUGUUCUAAUAAGAGAAAAGGCAUUGACCAACAUAACAACAAAUAUAUAACACUCAUGAAAAAAUUAAUAGUGAAUAUGAAAUGAUAAAGAUUUAAAACUGUGGUAAAAGAAACAAGAUGACUUGAACAAAAAGAUGUAAUAUAACUUAUUCUUGGACAGAAAUUUCAAAUUUCUAAAUGUAUUACUCCUCUCAGAUUCAUCAACAAAUGAAGUGCAAUCAAAAUAUAUAUUCUGGAACAUCCAUAAAAUUAAUAUUACUUUUUCAGUUUUUUGCAGGAGAACAUGAUUAAGAAUCCACUAUGAUGGGAAACAUUUCAUUCUUAAAAAUUUUUUUUUUUCUCUUCUUCCUCUUACUGGUAGUUCUGAACGUUGGAUUUUAUUUUCCCCCCAUGGGGUCAAAAGCUACCUAAGUAUAUGAUUGCAAGAGGAAAUAUAGUGGACAUAAAUCAGGUAUUGGCAGUUUUUCCAUUUUCAUUUGUGUGUGAAUUUUUAAUAUAAAUGUGGGAACAUAAAGAGUUAAUGCAAGUCAAAAUGUUUCAGUGAAUACGUUUCAGGAGUUCAACUUUAUAACAAUUAUAAAUAAACCUGUUAAAUUUUUCUGGACAAUGCCAGCAUUGGGAUUUUUUUUUAAAAAACAAGUAAUUUUUUAUGGGCAGCAACUAAAUGGUGUUUGAGACGUUUUUAUCAUGCAGUAGAUUCCAACCAUUCAGUAUACUUUUCUAACUGACUUGUCCUACAUGCAAGUACAUGUUUUUAAUAGUGUCUGUCUCCGGUGCUUUUCCUGUAAGUUUGCUAUUAAAAUACAUUAAACUAUUAAAAAAAAAGCCAAGAAAAUUGAAUUCUUUUCAGAUGUAAUUUCAAACUGAUUCUGGCUAGGAAGCAGACUAGUUUCAUCAACAUCACAUGUAUAUUGUACAGUUUUCUAGAGUAAACAUGUGCUAUUUCUGGUAUUUAAAAAUAAGUUCAAAUAAUAAAUAAAAGUCGACAU